UACGAGAGGCCCAAACGUUAUUCGGAAUUACUGGGCUUAAAGAGUUCGUAGGCGGCGCGGAAAGUAGGGUGUGAAAGCCCUCGGCUCAACCGAGGAAUUGCGCUCUAAACUGCAGUGCUUGAGGAACCUAGAGGUGAGCAGAACAGAUGGUGGAGCGGUGAAAUGCGUUGAUAUCAUCUGGAAUACCGGAGGCGAAGGCGGCUCACUGGGAGUUUUCUGACGCUGAGGAACGAAAGCCAGGGUAGCGAACGGG
rnacentral:rRNA from 1 species